rnacentral:rRNA from 1 species
GUGCCAGCAGCCGCGGGUAAUACGUAGGUGGCAAGCGUUAUCCGGGAAUUAUUGGGCGUAAAGCGCGCGCAGGUGGUUUCUUAAGUCUGAUGUGAAAGCCCACGGCUCAACCGUGGAGGGUCAUUGGAAACUGGGGAACUUGAGUGCAGAAGAGGAAAGUGGAAUUCCAAGUGUAGCGGUGAAAUGCGUAGAGAUUUGGAGGAACACCAGUGGCGAAGGCGACUUUCUGGUCUGUAACUGACACUGAGGCGCGAAAGCGUGGGGAGCGAACAGGAUUAGAUACCCUGGUAGUCC